rnacentral:piRNA from 1 species
UGACAAAUGGGAAUUCUAAAUUUUAAUACAGG